CGCUCCUCUCCAGUGCUUGCAGUAGGGAUAGGAGUGGGACUAGGCCUGGCCUUUAUUCUCACCGCUCUGUCUGUGCUGCUGUGGCGAUCCAGAAAGAUCAAAGGUGUUCUUCUUUCCAGCACAUUACCUGGCCAGCAACAGCAGAGCACCAAUCAGAGUUUAAACCAGGGCCAGGUACAAUCCACUGAGAGAGAGGGGGACCAGUCUGAUUACAUGCCCCUUCAGCGAGGAACUUCAGAUGUCUAUGACACCAUUCAAUAGAUCACGUGCCUCAGCAGAGCGGUCAGCUGUGAGUUGGACAUGUACUGUGACAAAUCUCUGAUCAGUUUAGGUAUCAAUUAUCUCAGUGAGUUGGACAUGUACUGUGACAAAUCAGUUAUCUCUGAUCAGUUUAGGUAUCAAUUAUCUCAGUGAGUUGGACAUGUACUGUGACAAAUCAGUUAUCUCUGAUCAGUUCAGUUAUCAAUUAUCUCUGAUAACUGAUAGUUGCAUUUCAAACAUUAUGGAUCACUAUUUACAUUGGUGUACAGUUUGUUGACAUCACAAUUUAUCACAAUAUCAUUAAUGCCUUGAAUAAUGAAACUGUUGUGAUGUUGUGAUGAAAUGUUGAGAUGUAUUCAAAAGUGAGAUGUUGUGGUUAUUUAAGGAGAAGGAAAUCACUUGAUCAUGUUUUAGUGCUCCACAGUAAUCUCAGGUCAGUACUAAAUAUAUCAGAAGAAAAAACAUUCCCCUUGUAAAUGUUCCAUCCCUUUUGGAUUAAAGAUAAUAAUCCAUGUUAGUUAGUGCCCAAUCAGGAACUAGGUAGACCUCCCUACCAGGGGCGGACUGGGGGAAAAAAGUGGCCCGGGAGUUACUGUCAGACCGGCCCACUUAAUACACGGCGCGUUGCCCACUCAAAGCAUUGCACGUAUCGACCAGUCAGUGGCCUACUUGGAUAUGUUAAUUCGAUAUGCUAAUUAGAUAUGACGCGAUAAUGACAGCACAGAGUCCUUGCAAUUAAUGUGCCCUCACAAGCCAGGUUUGUGUCCACGUAGGACAUGUGCCUAUAACGAAGUGAAAAGUCAGAAAUUGUGUAUUUUGAUUGGUAGGUGAUACAAAAAAAAAAAAACUUUGCUCUUUGAUGCACAAUUUUUUCUAAUCAUUUGUAUUCAACUUUGGUAGCUCUAGACUA